GGGGGCGUAGCUCAGUUGGGAGAGCGAUGCGUUCGCAACGCAUAGGUCAUGGGUUCGAAUCCCACCGUCUCCACCA
rnacentral:tRNA from 1 species